GCACUGAGCACUGCUGUGUUCCUCGAGGAAAAGAAGCCACUGAGGCACAUUUUCUUAUUGCACUUGGGGAUUUAUGAUGGAUGUGCACUUUUGAAAGCUUUGUCAGGAAAGCACUGGAGCCUCUGGCCAAAGCUUAUUAUUGAAGAAAGCAAAGUGAAUCCUGCAAAGUUUGUGAAGUGGAAUUCCACCAGCAGCGAGUGAAAACAAACCAAGCAAACAAACAAAAAAUAGUUUUCAGAAGAAGGCACUGCUUUUCCAGGCUUCAGAUGUUUACUCUUACUAAAGAAAGGGACGUGGGAGCUCUCCAACAAUUCAGAGCAUAUCUAUGCAAUUCCACAUUUUCCUGUGACUGUACUUUGAAGACAUGUGGACAAGUCAGUUGGAUUCCAUAAGCUACAAACCUACAUUACCAAUACAAAGGAUCUCAAUGAUAACCACACCUCCUAUUUCAGGAUUGACACUGCACUAGGACUGCUUCUGGACCACAGGUGGAAUAUCAAGUGUGUGCUAAUCAUACGACUAUACAGUCUCUGAACUGGAGCUCCUCACAUCUAGCCAGCCUCCAGCACAGACAAGAGUAGGAAGCCUUGCAUGUUUUUCUAACUGGAUGCCACAUUUAACAGCCCAGCACCAUUUUGCAACUGACAUUAUGGUGUUGUAUAACUUCUGACAGAACAGACUUAUUUGUGCAGAAAUGUGACUCAAAUUAAUGGUAGAGGUAAUUAAUUUUUCCACAGGACAUUCAGGUGUUUCCCUAUUCCGCUCCCCAUCCAACAACGUUCAUCUGAAAUUCCAACAUGUAGCUCUGCUCCCCUUCUCACAAAUGGACACCCAUGUGAUUUUCACACAUAUAGCCAAGCCUGAGUGUUUUCAUUCCCUUGAUCUGUUGCUGAUUUAUCUAGUAACGUUAAAAUAUAGCUUAUUAAUCUUUCUGUGACAGCAGUUUUCCGUUUUCUACGAACCAUCAUUUUCAAAAUAUUCAGGUGACACCAAGUGGUUAGUUGUUGUAUUGCUGUCUGCUCAGGACUGGUGUGUAGCACUACUAUAAAGAUUUGUGUAAAAACCAAGUAUUCUGUAAUGUGUGAAAGUAAAUACAAAAAUAGACAUUAAAAAAAAAGAAGCCAGAAUGCCUUGAGAUUAUUAAUCAAAGCAGCCCUUUCUCAUUUACUUACCUAAGAGGAGAUAUAUCCUUUAAAAAGAAAAAAAAAACCAACACAAAACAGCAAAACCCAAACUGUACACAUCAUCAAAAAUUAAAUGGCCAAAAAAUGAGGUUCCUGUAAGAAAGUCACUUACCAGAAGGAAUGAGUCCCUAUGCCAUCUUUGUAUACUCAUGUUUAUAAGAAACUGCUUCCAAUAAGCACA